GUUGUAAAGCACUUUUUGAGAGGAUGAGGAAGGACGGUACUCUCAGAAUAAGUCUCGGCUAACUACGUGCCAGCAGCCGCGGUAACAUGUAGGAGGCAAACGUUAUCCGGAUUUACUGGGCGUAAAGCGCGUGUAGGUGGUUUGGUAAGUAGGGCGUGAAAGCUCCUGGCUCAACUGGGAGAGGACGUUCUAAACUGCCAAGCUUGAGGAUGGUAGAGGGAGGUGGAAUUCCGGGUGUAGCGGUGGAAUGCGCAGAUAUCCGGAGGAACACCAGUGGCGAAGGCGGCCUCCUGGACCACUCCUGACACUCAGACGCGAAAGCUAGGGUAGCAAACGGGAUUAGAGACCCCGGUAGUCCUAGCCCUAAACGAUGUAGACUUGGCGUCGGUGGUUUAAUCGCCAUCGGUGUCGUAGCUAACGCGUUAAGUCUACCGCCUGGGGACUACGGCCGCAAGGUUAAAACUCAAAGGAAUUGACGGAAGGGCGAAUU
rnacentral:rRNA from 1 species